rnacentral:rRNA from 1 species
UAGGGAANCUCACAAUGGACGAAAGUCUGAUGGAGCAACGCCGCGUGAGUGAAGAAGGUUUUCGGAUCGUAAAGCUCUGUUGUUGGUGAAGAAGGAUAGAGGUAGUAACUGGCCUUUAUUUGACGGUAAUCAACCAGAAAGUCACGGCUAACUACGUGCC